GAUGAACGCUGGCGGCGUGCCUAAUACAUGCAAGUCGAGCGAACAGACGAGGAGCUUGCUCCUCUGACGUUAGCGGCGGACGGGUGAGUAACACGUGGAUAACCUACCUAUAAGACUGGGAUAACUUCGGGAAACCGGAGCUAAUACCGGAUAAUAUAUUGAACCGCAUGGUUCAAUAGUGAAAGACGGUUUUGCUGUCACUUAUAGAUGGAUCCGCGCCGCAUUAGCUAGUUGGUAAGGUAACGGCUUACCAAGGCAACGAUGCGUAGCCGACCUGAGAGGGUGAUCGGCCACACUGGAACUGAGACACGGUCCAGACUCCGACGGGGGGCAGCAGUAGGGAAUCUUCCGCAAUGGGCGAAAGCCUGACGGAGCAACGCCGCGUGAGUGAUGAAGGUCUUCGGAUCGUAAAACUCUGUUAUUAGGGAAGAACAAAUGUGUAAGUAACUAUGCACGUCUUGACGGUACCUAGUCAGAAAGCCACGGCUAACUACGUG
rnacentral:rRNA from 1 species